CUGUAGUUGCUCAUCCGGGUUUCUACCCGGUGCACUCUUCUACGGGCAGGCCAGCAUCAGUUUGGGCGGUUGGAUAAAGGUCUCUGUCAUGUACCUCUCUUCGGGGAGAACUUAUAGGGGAGACGACAUGCAACCAGCCUGGACUGAGGUCCGCGCAUCUGCUAGGAUGCUGGCGUAAUGGCUGUAAGCGGCCCGUCUUGAAACACGGACCAAGGAGUCCAAAU
rnacentral:rRNA from 1 species